rnacentral:rRNA from 1 species
CCGAGUGGCGGACGGGUGAGUAACGCGUGGGUAACCUGCCUCAUACAGGGGGAUAACGGUUAGAAAUGACUGCUAAUACCGCAUAAGCGCACAGUACCACAUGGUACGGUGUGAAAAACUCCGGUGGUAUGAGAUGGACCCGCGUCUGAUUAGCUGGUUGGUGGGGUAACGGCCCACCAAGGCGACGAUCAGUAGCCGACCUGAGAGGGUGACCGGCCACAUUGGGACUGAGACACGGCCCAG